rnacentral:rRNA from 1 species
AAUAGAUACCCUGGUAGUCCACGCCGUAAACGAUGAGUGCUAAGUGUUAGAGGGUUUCCGCCCUUUAGUGCUGCAGCUAACGCAUUAAGCACUCCGCCUGGGGAGUACGGCCGCAAGGCUGAAACUCAAAGGAAUUGACGGGGGCCCGCACAAGCGGUGGAGCAUGUGGUUUAAUUCGAAGCAACGCGAAGAACCUUACCAGGUCUUGACAUCCUCUGCUAACCCUAGAGAUAGGGCGUUCCCCUUCGGGGGACAGAGUGACAGGUGGUGCAUGGUUGUCGUCAGCUCGUGUCGUGAGAUGUUGGGUUAAGUCCCGCAACGAGCGCAACCCUUGAUCUUAGUUGCCAGCAUUUAGUUGGGCACUCUAAGGUGACUGCCGGUGACAAACCGGAGGAAGGUGGGGAUGACGUCAAAUCAUCAUGCCCCUUAUGACCUGGGCUACACACGUGCUACAAUGGAUGGUACAAAGAGCUGCGAGCCCGCGAGGGUAAGCUAAUCUCAUAAAGCCAUUCUCAGUUCGGAUUGU